AAGGCAUGGUGAGGGCAUUUCCUAUGCAUUUUCAUAAAUCUCUUUCAACUUUUAUAAAUUGAUUCUCCCUCAAAUUGGUAAAAAAUAUGUGAUAUCAUUUCUAAGUUU